rnacentral:rRNA from 1 species
GAUGAACGCUAGCUACAGGCUUAACACAUGCAAGUCGCGGGGCAGCAUGGGGGUUGCUUGCAAUCCCUGAUGGCGACCGGCGCACGGGUGAGUAACGCGUAUCCAACCUGCCCUUCACCACGGGAUAACCCGGCGAAAGUCGGACUAAUACCGUAUGUUGUCCAUUGACGGCAUCCGAUUUGGACGAAAGGCUUAGCGGUGAGGGAUGGGGAUGCGUCCGAUUAGCUCGACGGCGGGGUAACGGCCCACCGUGGCAACGAUCGGUAGGGGUUCUGAGAGGAAGGUCCCCCACACUGGAACUGAGACACGGUCCAGACUCCUACGGGAGGCAGCAGUGAGGAAUAUUGGUCAAUGGGCGGAAGCCUGAACCAGCCAAGUAGCGUGCAGGAUGACGGCCCUAUGGGUUGUAAACUGCUUUUAUGCGGGGAUAAAGGGACUCACGUGUGGGUUUUUGCAGGUACC